GGGGGCAUAGCUCAGUUGGGAGAGCAGCAGACUGAAGAGAUAUCAUCGUUCUGAAGGUCCCGCGUUCAAUCCGCGGUGCCCCCA